UACGUAGGGUGCGAGCGUUGUCCGGAAUUAUUGGGCGUAAAGAGCUCGUAGGCGGUCUGUCGCGUCGGUCGUGAAAACUCGGGGCUUAACCCUGAGCUUGCGGUCGAUACGGGCAUGACUGGAGUUCGGCAGGGGAGACUGGAAUUCCUGGUGUAGCGGUGAAAUGCGCAGAUAUCAGGAGGAACACCGGUGGCGAAGGCGGGUCUCUGGGCCGAUACUGACGCUGAGGAGCGAAAGCGUGGGGAGCAAACAGG
rnacentral:rRNA from 1 species